rnacentral:rRNA from 1 species
AGCGAACGCUGGCGGCAUGCCUAACACAUGCAAGUCGAACGAACCUUUCGGGGUUAGUGGCGGACGGGUGAGUAACACGUGGGAACGUGCCUUUAGGUUCGGAAUAACUCAGGGAAACUUGUGCUAAUACCGAAUGUGCCCUUCGGGGGGAAGAUUUAUCGCCUUUAGAGCGGCCCGCGUCUGAUUAGCUAGUUGGUUGAGGUAAUGGCUCACCAAGGCGACGAUCAGUAGCUGGUCUGAGAGGAUGAUCAGCCACAUUGGGACUGAGACACGGCCCAAACUCCUACGGGAGGCAGCAGUGGGGAAUCUUGCGCAAUGGGCGAAAGCCUGACGCAGCCAUGCCGCGUGAAUGAUGAAGGUCUUAGGAUUGUAAAAUUCUUUCACCGGGGACGAUAAUGACGGUACCCGGAGAAGAAGCCCCGGCUAACUUCGUG